UAAGAAAGACCUCUUUUUGGUAAUUCCGAUCAAACCAACUCGGGUGAUUUCGAAAUAGGAUGGAAGGGUUACAAAAACUUGGUCACUACACUUCGGUGAGACCGAAUGUGUAGCGACCAAACCUCAAACGGCCAAGUCUCUGUGCUUUAGUGUCAUCCCUGGAUCGGUAAUGGUGACACACACAGUACUCGAAGGAUUUAUAACAAAGUGGCAAUCACACACUUAUUACAUCGAAUGUCUCAAGAGAGAACUUAAUAUAAUAAAUAUGGCUUAAGGCCAUCUAAUACGAUAACAACGGAAGGCUUGGAAGAUAAAGUGAGUCCAUCAACUCCAACGGCAUAGCUGAGUGCAUGACAAACGACCUAUCGCACCUUGCUCCUCAUCUGAAAAGUCUGCAACAUGAUACGUUGCAGCCCGAAAAUAGGUCAGCACAUGAAAUAUGAUGGCAAUGUAACACAGAGAGUAAUGAACAGAUAAAUGCUAUCACUACAUGCAUAUAUGGCUGGUGGAGGCUGUAUGGUUAAUAUGUUUUGCGAAAAGCCAAUUUUUUCCUACAACAAAGGAAUAUAUUUUAUUUAACUAUCAUGGUAGUUGAACAAUAUUGAGAAGGUUCCUCCAACUCAAUCCCAAUUAAAAGUAGUUAUCAACCCAACAGAUUAAUUUAGAGUGAUGAGAUCCAUAUGAUAAUCCACGAACCAGAUACUCAAGAUGUCCAUAACCGGGGACACGGCUAACCAUGAUUAGUUUAUACACUCUGCAGAGGUUUGUGCACUUUUGCCCACAAGACUCGAUCUCCUCCGUUGGAUUUCUCGUACUACAGGGUGUUUGAGAAACGGAUGACCGAGACACAAUCUUUCAGAAGCAUUUGCUCUCUACUCCGGGCGGACCGGUACACCUACAAUCCCCUACAUCUGCUAAUCCACCUCUUCAAGAACUCACGCAACUUACUAAACUAUGCCAGAGCCCAUAAUGGCUUGUGGCUGCACACGGAAGUUUCUAGCAUGAAUAGUGUUAUGAUCCCUUUGAGCAUGGGUGCCGGACCGUAGGAUGAUCACACGGGUACUCCGGGAUAUCCUAGGACAACACUGGAUUCUGCAGGUGCCCACAAGCAAUCCACCCAGAUGUGUAUUAAAGUUGCCACCUUAAGUUAAACCAUUAAUUAACAACUCACAUCUGUUAUGGAUGCACCCAAACCCAAUCCACGUCUACGAGCAUAGCAUGUCAUAUAAGCAUAACGUAGAAGUAACUCCCAAGGGUUUGAUAACAAAACAGGUAAUAGGUUCUACCUCAUUAUCUACUUCCCAGACCAACAUGUUAAGAGAUCCUACUCAUGCAAUGUGUGAAGGCUGAAACUAAUGCAUAAAAACUAGGUGAUAAAGGGGUAUGAUCAAAGUGUUACUUGCCUUGCUGACGAUCUGCAAAUCCUAAAGACUCGCAGUAGCACGCUUCGCACUCCGGGUGUUCUAUCGCAAACAAACAAUAGCAUACAUAAGCAAUCAAGCAAGAAUGCACGGGUAAAUCUCAAAUAAGAAGAUCUAACCAGAAAGUUCAACUGAAGAACUCCGGUUUGCAAAAAGUAUCAAAUCAAACGAAGCAACGAAACUCAAACUGCGAAAGAAACAAGAUUCGAUUACUAAUCUGGACCAAAGUCAAAUUUUAUAGUACCAAAAUCUUGUUCAAGUUGGUUAAACAGAAAGAGGGCUUCGAGACGAAGAUCCAGGCGCUUGAAUCUCCUGAUUUCGACUAACGAGCGAAAAGAUAAACUAAAACUAAGAUCAGGGCAGAAAUCGCGGUAAAAAAUAAUCGCAAAAAACCCUGAAAAAAAAACUGACGAACAGGCUAAUGAACGAACGUUCGCUGUUUGUGACUAACGGAUGAACGACGUUCGUUAAAACGAACGUACGGACGGACGUCCGCAAAAUAAAUAAACCAAGAAAAUUGGAAAAAACAAUCUAAUAAAAAAACUAGAUCUAGGUUUACGAAAAACCAAUCGGUUUUUCUAAAAAAACGACGGCUACCUCGUAGAACGGGACGGCGACGGCGGCGUACUCCGGCGGCGGCGGCGUUCGGCG
rnacentral:lncRNA from 1 species